rnacentral:rRNA from 1 species
UACGUAGGGUGCGAGCGUUAAUCGGAAUUACUGGGCGUAAAGUGUGCGCAGGCGGCCGCGCAAGUCGAGUGUGAAAGCCCCGAGCUUAACUUGGGAAUUGCGCUCGAAACUACGUGGCUGGAGUGUGGCAGAGGAAGGUGGAAUUCCACGUGUAGCGGUGAAAUGCGUAGAGAUGUGGAGGAACACCAAUGGCGAAGGCAGCACUCUGGGGACGUGACUGACGCUGAGACGCGAAAAGCGUGGGGGAGCGAACAGG